GCCCUCGUAGUUCAAUGGAUAGAACGGCCCCCUCCUAAGGGGCAAAUGUAUGUUCGACUCAUGCCGAGGGCACAA
rnacentral:tRNA from 1 species